GUUUUCCCGGCUAGGCUCUGGAGCGGCGGGCGCGGCGCGAUGCGCGGGUACCCGGGAGCGAACGGCUGCAAGCCCCGAUGAAGCUCGAGCAGCCCCAGCCUGAUGGAGGCGCCUCCGUGGGAGCCGGUGCGCAAUGACUCCCUGCCUCCCACGCUGAGCCCCGCGGUGCCGCCCUACGUGAAGCUCGGCCUCACCGCGGUCUACAACCGUCUUCUACGCGCUCCUCUUCGUGUUCAUCUAUGCGCAGCUCUGGCUGGUGCUGCGCUACCGUCACAAGCGGCUCAGCUACCAGAGCGUCUUCCUCUUCCUUUGCCUCUUCUGGGCCUCGCUGCGUACCGUGCUCUUCUCCUUUUACUUCCGAGACUUCGUGGCAGCCAACUCGUUCAGCCCCUUCGUCUUCUGGCUGCUCUACUGCUUCCCCGUGUGUCUACAGUUCUUCACCCUCACGCUCAUGAACUUGUACUUCACGCAGGUGAUUUUCAAGGCCAAGUCAAAAUAUUCUCCAGAGCUACUCAAAUACCGGUUACCCCUCUACCUGGCCUCACUUUUCAUCAGCCUCGUUUUCCUGUUGGUGAAUCUGACCUGUGCUGUGCUGGUGAAGACGGGAGACUGGGACAGGAAGGUUAUCGUCUCUGUGAGAGUGGCCAUCAAUGACACACUCUUUGUGCUGUGUGCUAUCUCUCUCUCCAUCUGCCUCUACAAAAUCUCCAAGAUGUCCCUGGCGAACAUCUACUUGGAGUCAAAGGGCUCAUCAGUGUGUCAGGUAACUGCCAUUGGUGUCACCGUCAUCUUGCUCUACGCCUCUCGGGCCUGCUACAACCUGUUCAUCUUGUCAUUUUCUCAGAUCAAGAACGUCCAUUCCUUUGAUUAUGACUGGUACAAUGUAUCCGACCAGAUCUGAAGAGCCAGCUGGGUGAUGCCGGCUACGUAGUGUUUGGCGUGGUGCUUUUCGUGUGGGAGCUCCUACCCACCACCUUGGUGGUUUAUUUCUUUCGAGUCAGAAAUCCCACGAAGGAUCUUACCAAUCCUGGGAUGGUCCCCAGCCAUGGAUUCAGUCCCAGAUCUUACUUCUUUGACAACCCCCGAAGAUAUGACAGUGAUGAUGACCUUGCCUGGAACAUUGCCCCUCAGGGACUUCAGGGAAGUUUUGCUCCAGACUACUGUGAUUGGGGACAACAAAAUAACAGCUUCCUGGCACAAGCAGGAACUUUGCAUCAAGACUCCACUUUGGAUCCAGACAAAGCAAGCCAAGGGUAGCAGCAGCUGACACAGCCCUAUGGAAGAGUUCUCUGUUGACAGCCUUCAGCCAGACAGACCGGAUGACAGCUGAGUUGCUAAGGCAGUUUUCCUUAGGAAACAGAACUCUAGUUUUUGCUAUAGCUUUCUCAUGGCUCCACAGGGCUAAGCAAUAAUUUAGAGCAAUAAACCCUUUAGUACUAGCAGAGAAUCUGGCUAUUUCAGUGGGUAUAAUUUAAACUUAUAAAAGAGAUUCUGUACUUUUAUAAAGAUGUAUUUUAUAUAACUUAAAUACUAAUGCUAAAGUAUACUAGGUUUUUCCUUGAUUGUUAAUUUGUUAAUUGCAACGUAUGUUGUAGUUUGCACAGACUUUCACGCAGAAUUCACUUUAAAACGUAUAGAAUGCGUGGUCUAAUAGUUUAAAGCUUUGGGAAAACUUUCCACAAAUCUUACCUCUGAAGGUUCCUCUUGUGAGUGCCACGUGGUGGGCUCCUUUCACCGCCACUCAAGCAUUCCAAGUUAAGGGGAAGCAGAGUACCACGGUCUGUACGUAACAGGCUCAGCAGCAGCAAUUUCUCGUAAACUCUGUCCUAAGCCUGGUCCUUCUUCAUCUGAAAGCACUACUACAAGCACUCCAGUAACAAGUGGAUACUGUUAAGAUGUAGUUGCUGACACUAUUAAACCUCCUCUGCUGUGUGUGUA
rnacentral:lncRNA from 1 species